rnacentral:lncRNA from 10 species
GGGAGGAUCACUUGAGCCUGGGAGGCCGAGGCUGCAAUGAGCUAUGACCUCACCACUGUAUUCCAGCCUGGGUGAGAGAGCCAGAUCCUGUCUCAAAAAAACAGGGAGUAGGGCAAUUAAAUAGUAAGAAUUUGAUCAUGAUUGUCUAGCAUAGGAAUAAUCAAUUCACUGGAAAAAUACAUAAAAAUUUCUAGGCCUUUCCAUAGCUGGAAAGAAAUAGCUUCCUAAAUUAGUCUACUCCCUUACCUCUGAUUAUAUGGUCCUUAAAAACUUCCUGCUAACCAGGCCGGGCGCAGUGGCCCUAUUUUUAUUUUUAACCAGUGCUGUAGUUUGAAUAUUUGUCUCCUCCAAAACUCAUCUGGAAACAUCCCCAAUGUGGCAAUAUUGAGAGAUGGCGCCUUUAAAAGGUGACUGGGUCAUGAAGGCUCUGCCCAGUGAGACUGGUGCCUUUAUAAGAAGAGGAAGAGAGACCUGAGCUACCAUGCUCAAGUCCCUCACCACGUGAGGCCCUCUGCCACCUUGGGUCUCUGCAGAGAGUUCCCAGGAACAAGAAGUCUCUCACCAGAUGUGGACCCUGUACCUUGGACUUCUCAGUCUCCACUAUUGUAAGAAAUAAAUUCCUUUUCUUUAUAAAUGACCCAGUUUCAGGUAUUCUGUUCUAUGCAACACAAAAUGGACUAAGACAACGAGUACGCUUAGUUGUUGCUUCCUGAGUUCCAAAGUCCGACAGACAGAGCAGGUCCUCCAUUCUUGCCCCUUUUUACCCCAAAUGCUCAUUGGCAUUCUUGCAGCUACGAGUAAUAAUUAAAAGUGGCUAAGCCAGGCUGGCAUGGUUGCUCACGCCUGUAAUAUCAGCACUUUGGGAGGCUGAGGCAGGAGGAUCACUUGAACCCAGGAGUGAGACCAGCCAGGGCAACAUAGCAACACCCUGUCUCUAAUUAUUAUUAUUUUUUUAAGUGAGUAAGCCAAAUAGGGGUUUACUUUUCAUCUAGAACAAGAAGACGUGUUGGCCAGGCUGGUCUCAAACUACUGGGCUCAAGUGAUCCACCCACCUCAGCCUCCCAAAGUGUUGGGAUUAUGCGUGAGCCACCGCACCUGGCCACAAGACCCAAUUUCUUUUAUUUUAUCUUUUUUUUUUUUUUUUUAAGAGAUAGGGCAUCUAACGGCAUUGUUUUAGCUGCUCAACACUUUUUUUUUUUUGCUUAUUUUUGUUUGUUUUGUUUGUUUUUGAGACAGGGUCUCCCUCUGUUGCCCAGCAUAUAGUGCAGUGGCAUGAUCAUGGCUCACUGCAGCCUCAACCUCCCAGGAUCAGGCAAUCCUCCUGCUUCAGCUUCCUGAGUAGCUGAGACCACAGGUGCACACCAAUAUACCUAAUUUUUUUUUUUUUGAGAUGGAGUUUCACUCUUGUUGCCCAGGCUGGAGUGCAAUGGCGUGGUCUCAGCUCACUGCAACCUCUGCCUCCCUGGUUCAAGCGAUUCUCCUGUCUCAGCCUGCCGAGUAGCUGGGGUUACAGGCAUAAGCCACUACGCCCAGCUAAUUUUGUAUUUUUAGUAGAGACAGGGUUUCUCCAUGUUGGUCAGGCUGGUCUCGAACUCCUGACCUCAGGUGAUCCACCCACCUCAGCCUUCCAAAGUGCUGAGAUUGCAGGUGUGAACCACUACGCCUGGCCACCUGACUAAUUUUUAAGUUAUUCACAGAGAACAGGUUUUGCAAUGUUGCCCAGGCUGGUCUCAAACUCCUGGGCUCAAAUGAUCCUCCUCCCUCGGCCUCCCAAAGUGCUGGGGUUACAGGUGUGCCACUGUGCCUGGUCGGCUCACCACUUUCAGAUCUGGCUCUCUUCACCUCUCUUUUAUAGUCAUAAGCUGAUUAGCACAAUUCUAGACAUCCGCAGCUACAUUUAAGGCAGGAAGGAGGUGGUAAUAGACACUACCAGCCACAUCUGUCCCUUUUAAUCAGGAUACCCUAGAAAUCCUCAGCAGACUUUGAAUUAUGUGCCAUUGGUGAAAUGUCAUAUGAUCAUCCCUCUACAAGGCAACGAGGUAAAAAGAGAAUUUAGUAUUUCUAGCCUCUAGAGUGGAGAUGAACAAAGAAUAGGAAUGGGCAUUUGCUUAGGAAACCAACUGUGCCUUACAACAUUUUUGCACUUUUUUCUGUAACAUUUUGUGUUAAAUCAUAUAAAAAUGCUGAUCCUAACAAAUAUGGUCAAUGAGUCACACCAUAAUUCUCUAAGAACUCCAGUCCAAAAAGGUUAAUCUUGCUUUUAAACUCCAGGCGCGGUGUUUCACAGCUGUAAUUUUAGCACUUCGGGAGGCAGAGCAAGAGGAUCACUUGAGGCCAGGAGUUGGAGACCAGCCUGGCAACAUAGCAAGACCCCGUCUCUACAAAAAAUAAAAUUAUCUGGGCCUGUUGGUGCACACCUGUAGUCCCAGCUACUCAGGAGGCUGAGGUGGGAGGAUCACUUGAGCCUAGGAAUUCGAGGCUGCAGUGAGCUGUGAUUGCACCACUGCACUCCAGCCUGGGUGACAGAGGGAGAACCUAUCUCCAAAACAAAACAAAAUAAAAACAAAACAAAACUCCAAGCAGAGAAAGACUUGACGAGUCGGAUGAGUCUGAUGAUUCCUAAAGGAAAUCCUUUUUGAGAUUCCAGGAGAUUCCAUCUCCUCAACAGAGUAAUUGAUUUUGAGCCUCCCACCUCCUGAAUUAAGGCCCACCCAUCCCUAUCCUGCACUGAACUGUAGACUCUUUUUUACUUCCUUACAAAAGUUUAUUCUUAAAUGUACAACAGACUCCAAGACGACACUUUAUUGUAGCUAUAGGUGGCAAAAGAUGUUAUGGCAGAGAAUCCAGAUGUUUAAAUAGGAAUGGGGUCAAGGGUCACCGCCCCAAGCACGGAUAACAAAAUUUAUUUUUUGCCAGAUUUCUUUAAUUCCACCUGUGACUGGUGAGGGCUGGUGGCGGGGUGGCUUUCACUUUUAGCUCCUCUUUUUGUUUCUGCUUGAACGUCCCAUCUUCCUUACCCACCCCCUUGACCUGCUUCUUGAGCUUUCUCAGGGCUUCUUGCCACCUUUGCAGCUGUACAUGGCACCUGCCAUAGGGCUCUAAUUUUAAACUGAGAAAUUGAGAAAACAGGAAACUGACUCUUUUUGGGGGGAGAGUAAGACAAACAGGAAAAGGAAAAUGAAGACGUGGUUGAUACAGAUCGUUGGAUUUCAAAAGGAAAAGUCUACGGAUAACCGAAAAAAAUAAAUAUUUAGAAAUGCAUAGUCUUGGCUGGUUAAAUAAGUAUCCAUGCUUGUUCUUGUGGCAUAGUAGUUACGAGACAUUUUUAGUUAAAUGGAAAAAUGUGAAUUACUAUAGUUUGAGUGAUAUGCUGCUUUCCAAAUUAAAAGCAGCAUAACAAAAACAUUCCCCUAAUACUCAUAAAUAAUUCAUUGAAUUGGCAAUAAUUCACCUCCUAAUGACUUCAUAUGAAGUAUAAAGUAACUUCGAUACAUCAGAAGAAAUCCUAUCUUCUAAUAUAAGAAAGUAAUAUGAUUACAUUAAAUGCGUCUCAUAUAAGUUAUAAAAAUGGUAUCUAUGAGUAAAGAAAUGCUUGUGAACAAAAAAAUUGAUCUUAUAAAGGUCAAACAGGCCAGGCGUGGUGGCUCACACCUGUAAUCCCAGCACUUUGGGAGGC